UACAGAGGUCUCAAGCGUUGUUCGGAUUCAUUGGGCGUAAAGGGCGCGUAGGUGGCGGGGCAAGUCAGGUGUGAAAUCUCGGGGCUCAACCCCGAAACUGCACUUGAUACUGCCUUGCUAGAGUACUGGAGAGGAGAUUGGAAUUUACGGUGUAGCAGUGAAAUGCGUAGAUAUCGUAAGGAAGACCAGUGGCGAAGGCGGGUCUCUGGGCAGUAACUGACGCUGAGGAGCGAAAGCGUGGGGAGCGAACAGG
rnacentral:rRNA from 1 species